GCCUGGGUGGCUUAGUCGGUUAAGCGUCUGACUUUGGCUCAGGUCAUAUCUCAUGGUCUGUGGGUUCGAGCCCCACGUCGGGCU
rfam:Felis catus isolate Cinnamon breed Abyssinian chromosome A2, whole genome shotgun sequence.